CUUCCGCUGGGAGGAGGAUGCAUCCAUGCGCCCUUCCUGUUUGUGAAAAUGAGUCAACGAGGUUGGAUAUAAAGCAAGCAUCAGAUGGGACGCAAGAUGUGCUUGACCUUUUAGAACCUCAAGUUGGCAGCAUAGAUGAUGUCUGGGAAAUUCUGACAAAUGGAGG